CCUUACACACAGUGUUUUUUGUUAUUACAAGAACUUUUGCUUUGGUCUGGACUAGAAAUAGUUUGGGCCAGAGGUUUACUGAACUAAACUUCAAUAUUUAUAUUGAAUUGUUAUUUAUUUAAUUGUCAAUUUGUUGAUUAAAUUCAAAAAAUCUUCAAAACUUUCAACAACGGAUCUCUUGGUUCUCGCAUCGAUGAAGAACGCAGCGAAAUGCGAUAAGUAAUAUGAAUUGCAGAUUUUCGUGAAUCAUCGAAUCUUUGAACGCACAUUGCGCCCUCUGGUAUUCCAGAGGGCAUGCCUGUUUGAGCGUCAUUUCUCUCUCAAACCUUCGGGUUUGGUAUUGAGUGAUACUCUUAGUCGAACUAGGCGUUUGCUUGAAAUGUAUUGGCAUGAGUGGUACUGGAUAGUGCUAUAUGACUUUCAAUGUAUUAGGUUUAUCCAACUCGUUGAAUAGUUUAAUGGUAUAUUUCUCGGUAUUCUAGGCUCGGCCUUACAAUAUAACAAACAAGUUUGACCUCAAAUCAGGUAGGAUUACCCGCUGAACUUAAGCAUAUCAAUAAGCGGAGG
rnacentral:rRNA from 1 species